UACGUAGGUGGCAAGCGUUGUCCGGAAUUACUGGGUGUAAAGGGCGUGUAGGCGGGUUAUUAAGUCAGAUGUGAAAUUCCAGGGCUCAACCCUGGCGCUGCAUCUGAAACUGAUGAUCUUGAGUACUGGAGAGGGAAGUGGAAUUCCUAGUGUAGCGGUGAAAUGCGUAGAUAUUAGGAGGAACACCAGUGGCGAAGGCGACUUUCUGGACAGUAACUGACGCUGAGGCGCGAAAGCGUGGGGAGCAAACAGGAUUAGAUACCCUGGUAGUCCACGCCGUAAACGAUGGAUACUAGGUGUGAGGGGGAUUACCUCUUCGUGCCGCAGUUAACACAAUAAGUAUCCCACCUGGGGAGUACGGCCGCAAGGUUGAA
rnacentral:rRNA from 1 species